GACGAACGCUGGCGGCGUGCUUAACACAUGCAAGUCGAACGGAAAGGCCCUGCUUUUGUGGGGUGCUCGAGUGGCGAACGGGUGAGUAACACGUGAGUAACCUGCCCUUGACUUUGGGAUAACUUCAGGAAACUGGGGCUAAUACCGGAUAGGAGCGCCUGCUGCAUGGUGGGGGUUGGAAAGUUUCGGCGGUUGGGGAUGGGCUCGCGGCUUAUCAGCUUGUUGGUGGGGUAGUGGCUUACCAAGGCUUUGACGGGUAGCCGGCCUGAGAGGGUGACCGGCCACAUUGGGACUGAGAUACGGCCCAGACUCCUACGGGAGGCAGCAGUGGGGAAUAUUGCACAAUGGGCGGAAGCCUGAUGCAGCAACGCCGCGUGCGGGAUGACGGCCUUCGGGUUGUAAACCGCUUUCGCCUGUGACGAAGCGUGAGUGACGGUAAUGGGUAAAGAAGCACCGGCUAACUACGUG
rnacentral:rRNA from 1 species